UGAGACAAUGUUGCCACUGGGUUCUGUGU
rnacentral:piRNA from 1 species